GGUUUGAUGACGUAACGACAGCUCAGCGUCAGUGUAGUCGUUUUACGGCAGAGCGUGCUGCUGGAGGUCAGGGGUUUGAAAAGAAGCCUAGCAGUCUGUAACGAAAACCUUGUGUUUUCACUGGUAAAACUCACUUAGGGUUCAAAAUACACAUUGACAGGACAGCGUAUGUUGGUGUCGGUGAAUCCAGCAGCCCAUCGUUUGUCUUGGAUUUUCAGUAUUGCGACAUAGCUAGCCUUGCUAACGUUAGCCAGAUCGGUUUGGCUAGCAGCUCCCUGCUAGCUUCAGUGCUUGACCCCUCGGAUCUUUUACAGCCAUGGACAACAGCUCACAAGGAUCGGGAGGAAUGAAAGGAGGUAUCGGGGGUCUCUUUGGAGGCGGUGCACCUGAAUACUCCAACACGGAGCUCGCCGGUGUUCCCUUGACUGGAAUGAGUCCUCUGUCCCCUUACCUCAAUGUCGACCCUCGUUACCUGAUUCAGGACACAGAUGAGUUCAUUCUACCCACAGGUGCCAAUAAAACAAGAGGGAGGUUUGAACUGGCUUUCUUUACCAUUGGAGGAUCCUGCAUGACUGGAGCAGCACUUGGAGCUGUAAAUGGUCUCAGGGUGAGCCUGAAGGAGACUAGAGACAUGGGAUGGUCCAAACCUCGUAAUGUGCAGAUUCUCAACAUGGUGACCAGACAGGGUGCUUCAUGGGCCAACUCUUUAGGCUCAGUAGCCUUGUUAUAUAGUGUUUUUGGUGUAGCGAUAGAGAAGGCCAGAGGAGCAGAAGAUGACAUCAACACAAUGGCUGCUGGGACGCUAACGGGGAUGCUUUUCAAAUCAGCCAGUGGCCUAAAGGGUGUGGCACGAGGAGGUCUGGCUGGUUUAGCCUUGUCUGGUGCCUACGCUCUUUACAACAACUGGGACCACCUCACCGGCUCCUCAUCCUCCUCCUCCAGGCUAUACUAACCCUCUCCCACACACAUCUGCUUCUACAUUAGGGCCAAAUAACUCCCCAGGACACAGCCUUUAACCACAGGAGAUUGGACUAAAUUCCACUGGGAGUCCAGAUGUAGACCGUCCAACAACACCCCUCUCUUCAUUUGUUUUUAUCCUCUGAGGUGUUCCUGUCCCUGAUCUGAUCAGUAAUGAGAAGACUCUGUGAGGAUGUUUUUAUAGAGGUGUCUCAUUUGUUAUAUCAUUGUUUAUCGGAGGCUUAUUAGUCUUCAUUGAUGCUCGUUCUGAAAUCAAUGAACCCAUGAUAUUUGGGUUAAAAAAGCCAAUGUGUAAAAUGACUUGUCACAUCUGGUGUGUGUGGUUCACCGGAUGAACGGCAGUGGAUUCAUGUACUGAUUCUGGACUGAAAGACUCUUCUGUAGUAGAAGAGCAAAGAGAUUUUCAACUAUGAUCUACAAACGCAGAACUAAGCCUUAUGGUUCUACUCUAUGUAUUUAUUGAAGCGUAUAAGCAGUGGUCUCUGUUUAACUGUGCAAGAAGAAAUCACUGUAAAGCAGUUUGUGUCUCCAUCAAACCCACUGUAUUAAAUGCUAUAUUAAAGGAAA